CCUACGGGUGGCAGCAGUGGGGGAUAUUGCACAAUGGGGGGAACCCUGAUGCAGCGACGCCACGUGGGUGAAGGAGCGUUUCGGCGCGUAAAGCCCUAUCGGCAGGGAAGAAGGAGGACGGUACCUGACUAAGAAGCCCCGGCUAACUACGUGCCAGCAGCAGCGGUAAUACGUAGGGGGCACGCAUUAUCCGGCUUUCCAGGGUGUAAAGGGGGAGCAGACGGCAGGGCAAGACAGGAGUGAAAGCCCGGGGCCCAACCCCGGGACUGCUCUUGGAACUGCGCGGCUGGAGUGCAGGAGGGGCAGGCGGAAUUCCUGGUGUAGCGGUGAAAUGCGUAGAUGUCAGGAGGAACACCGGUGGCGAAGGCGGCCUGCUGGACUGCGACUGACAUUGAGGCCCGAAAGCGUGGGGAGCAAACAGGAAUAGAUACCCGAGUAGUC
rnacentral:rRNA from 1 species